AACGGCCGUACCAUGCUGAAUAUACCGGUUCUCGUUAGAUCACCGAAGUCAAGCAUCAUUGGGCGCGGUCAGUACUUGGGUGGGUGACCACCUGGGAACACUGCGUGCCGUCG